CACACAGCAUAUACCACAGCUUUUUCUAGUUUAAGACUAAUCUCUUCAGGGUUUUCUCUUGUUCUAAAUCUGUUCAGGCUGACUUCUGCUCCACAGAGAGAGCCAUAAACAAGGCAAUGAAGCAGAGCGUCUAAGAAAUUAAAAGAGAAAUACAAAGGGGGAGAAAAAAAAAAAAAAAUAAUAAUAAAAAGAAGCCGUGAGCCAGGAGUAAACCCAUUUGCUCUCAUCUCCUCCGCAAGGUGGCUGUGCUGCUCCCCGGACACAGCGGGGUGCUCAGGUUUGUUUUUCCCAAACCCGUUGCUCCUGGGAAGCUGCAGAAACAUUCCCAAAGCGUUCUUCUCUGAAAACUAUCCCGCUGCAGCCCCAAACUUUGGCUUCCACAGGAGGAAGCGUUUCACCUGCAGCGCACCCCGCUGCCGCUGCACCCCGCAACAACGCUGGGCAGGGAAAGGGGUGCGGGACACACACGGAAUUGCCACCCCAGCACAGCACAGCCAGGCUCCCCUGGCUGCAAAACAUGAGGCUUUGGGGGGCCUCUCUCCCCUCGCAGCGUGGUCGCGAUGAUCGGGAAUAAACCCCCCCUUCGCCGCCUGUCACUCCGUGGCACGGCACCGCUGCAGCCCGCAAACAGCCCCCAGCCCUGGCCGGUGCCCCGGCGGGAUGGAAUUCCAUCUGCCGGCAGCAGGGACACAGCCCCGGCCCCGCCGAGCCGCGGAGGCACCGCCGGCGGGACGCGGCCCCCGCGCCCACAUCAACCCUUACCUGAACUCCUCUGCGAGCCGGGGGGCAGCAAAGGCCACGGGCGACCAGAAGAACGCAACAACAACAACGAAAACGAGAUUUCCUGGGAAGGUGCAGCCUGGGAUAUCAGAAUGCAGUCCUGUGACAACACAUCUGUGCACCCUUUUGUGAGGGCACAUGGGACAGCACACCCUUCCUGCUCCCCACAGCAGGCCUCACUGUCCUGCAGGGGAAAUGAAGUAUUAUUCUCAUUUUAUGGGGAAACAGAGGCACAGAGGCUCAAACAAAAGGUCUGUGGCAGAACCAAGAUGCAAUCUCAUCUCUUUUCAAAUCCAGCUCAAUUUAAACUCGCAAAAAUAUCCUCCAUCUGCAUUUCUUCAGAAUUGCCAGUAACACAUCCCACAGCCUGGCAAACAUAA
rnacentral:lncRNA from 1 species